CCAUCUCGGCCGGACGAAUCAAAAUUCCCUCAAACUGUGCCUGGCCCACAAAGGAGCUCUCAGGACUUCAUCUCAAUCACUAGUACCGAAGUACCUUGUGCCUGGUCCCCUCAGGGCUGUUCCAGGACUUUCUUACGAGGGCUAAUGAAUCCAAAACUAUGUCCGCACCGUACAUAAAGCAAUGUACAUGGAGCAGUGCCAGGUACAAGGAUAAUGCAAUGCAACAUAUUCGUGUGCACUAAUGCAAUGCACCGUAACAUAGCAUGGCAUCAAUGAUGCAUGAUUCAUGAUAAAAUAUUUACUUUUCCAUAUUAAAGCCAUUAAGUUUAGUUCCACUCACCUGCCACUGCUGACUAACUCUGGGCCAACUCUAACUUUGGGGCCUCCUCAGUUCCUCGGGUCCAAACCUACACAGGUGGACUCAAAUGAGGUACCAAACCAUUCUAACAUAACUCUAAACAUCUCCCCAAAACCCUCCCUAAAACAUCACAAACAUGCAUAGAAAAACAUGUAAAGAAAGGCUGAACAGGGCACCUUCGGCGGCACAUUCGGCGGCCGAACCCCCUCUUCAGAGACGAAACUCAUGCAUGUUCGGCGGCACCUUCGGUGGCCGAAAGUCCUUUCCAGAGCCGAAAGUCCAAACGUUCGGGGGCAAGUUUAGGCAGCCGAAACUAUCUCCACAAGGGUCCGGCGGCCGAAACUUCUUGCGGGGGCCGAACCUGAGUUCAUCCAAAACUUAGCCUCAUGCACAACCAAGCCUCCCAAACCUUCCAAACACCCAAAACAUGCAUCCAACCUCUUAAACACACGCAAAAACACUGCUUUUUGCACAUAGGGGCUUAGACCAAGCUCAAAACCCCUAACACAACUCAUAUAGCAUACAAAGGCAUAAGGGGUCCAUAAACCCUCACAUGCACAACCAUGCAAAACUCAUGCAAACUAACCCUUUCCCUUCAUAAAACCCACUUAAAACAUUGUAAAAGCGAAGGAUCUACACUUACCUCUUGAAGACCGAGAGGAUUGGCGAUCCAAACUUGAAGAUCUGGAGAAUCCAACUCAAGUCUCCAAGCUCCAAAACUCUUCAAAAUCACAUAAAACCUACUUAAAACUUGCUUAACUUUGAAAGAUUUGAAGAAACAACAACAAAUCAACCUAAGGAGAUCAAGGACUCAUCUAUACCCGAAAAGAGAGAGAAACCUCAUCUCAAAUCCGGAUAAGGGGCCUUUUAUAGGUGGCCAACCGCCUCUCCUUCGGCAGCCAAAGCUGCAUGCAAAACCAGGCAACGUUCGGCGGCCGAACUUGGAGUUUCGGGGGCAAAACCUAAGGCACUUUCGGCGGCCGAACCUGGCCAAAGCCUCCUUAGUCUUUUCUCUUCAAAACUCAACUCUUUUCUCAUUCAACACCUUAAAACACUUAAAAACAUUUGAGAAAACCUUUCCUUUACCCUUCUAGAAACCUCCGACAUCAUCGAAUUCCAUCGGACGGUAGGAAUGCCGAUGCCUGAAGCUAGCCGGGUAUUACAAUCUACCCUCCUUAAAAAAACAUUCGUCCCCGAAUGUUCUUCCUCUAAUACAUGCAUACUAUAGCCAUAACAUAAACACAUAACACAUAAAAGAGACAAGGUACUAUUGGAGUAAAAACUCACGGUCUCCCAAGAACACUAAACAUGACUGAGGUGAUUCCAAGGACUAACACCAUCAGAACUUCCUGUUCCUUUACACUCUGACCUGUGUGUCUAUGAUCCGUUCUCGCAGCUCUAAACAGGUGAGAUCCCCUGAGAUCUCCACCUCUGAGUCAAAAGAACCUCACUCAGAUCCGACACAACUCCAGAAUCAAGGAAACAAGGAAAACCGUUAGAUCGCUUCUAAGAAGCAGGUAAACCUAACUGGUAGGAUGCAUCCCCAAGCCUCUGCAGGAUUUCAAAGGGUCCGAUGUAUCUUAGAGCUAGCUUACCUCUCCUUCUCACAACGAAUCACCCUUACUAGGAGACACCUCGAGCAAUACCUCAACGUCUCCAGAACUGCAACAGCUUCCACUGCGCACUCUGACUCUUGCCCUUCUCUCUUCAUCUAUCUAAACUGGCUUCCUCUCUAACUCUCAACAGGUAGUACCCGAAUCUCCGAGCUAUCUAGGAACAUAACUUGCCCCUACAAGCUGUUCCAAUAGAUCAUCAAUCUUGCAUGGGAAAUACCUGUCCCUGGUAGUGACCUUGUUCAACCACUUACAGUCGUUACAAAGUCUCAAGGAUCCAUCCUUCGUUUCCCACAACACCACUGGAACACGCCAGGGUGAGGUACUAGGGCGGAUAAAACCCUUGUCUACCAACUCUAGCAACUACUCUUCCGGCUUCUACUACUCUGCAGGUGCCAUCCUGUAGGGAAGGAAAGAAAUGGUUCUAGAUCCAGACACCACUCCUACUCCAAACUCUAUUUCCCUGCUAGAUGGUAAACCUGACAGCUCGUCUGGGUAACAUCUAAGAACUCUCUAGCUAAGGGCACUGAGGCUGAUUCCCUGACCUGACUGCAGAACUCUCCAACAAGAGCUAGGAACCCUCUGACAACAUUUCCUGAGCAAACUAGGAGCCUGUAGGGCUGACAUCAAACCUCUAGGCACUACUCUGUCCCUUCAAGGGACUACCUCUAAUCCAUCCUGAACUCUGAACAUGACUACCUUGUCUCUGCAGACUCGGUAGCACUAUAAAUAGCUAACCAAGCCACCACUAGAAGGACGUCAAACAGUCACAUCUAGAACCACUAGGUCAGCUGGAAGGCACCUACUCUCAACAUGCUCUGAACUAUACUGGCAGACUGACUCUGCCUCUGAUGGAUCACACUUGGGUCGACUCACCCAAAGAGGACACUCUAAGCCCAGAAGCUAUCAAUCCCUCCCUCUAUGGCUCACAAAGCAAUAGGGAAAGAGAAACACUAGGGUCCAAAAAUAGCACACACAUCCGAACACUCACAAGUGAACGUACCUGACGUCACCGUGUUCGAUGUGAUAGCCUCCUGCUGAGUCAGAGUGAAGAUCCACGCUGAAGCUAACGGAUCUUCCCUCGGGAACCUACUGAAGAAAAGAAUAACCCUCUCCUCCUGCCUCAACCACCACCUAAUCCCAGACCGAACUGAAACCUCUACCUGCACUUACACUUACUCUUACUAUUCUCUCCCUCUUACUCUGCUCUAGCUCACUUACUCUGCUUCUUCUUACUCUGCUCUAUCUCACUUACUCUACUUGAGGGGGCUGCACUCAGAGAUGAGAGAUCAACUCUCACUAUACCUGGGGUUAUAAAACCCGAGGCCAUAGCAACUCUCUCAACCUCUAGCUACUAACUCUUCUCUAACUGAACAUCUAACUCUACUACUCUCACAGUAGCUGACAUCCUCUAGGGUCCAGUCUACCUCUGACUACCUCAAAAGACCUCCUAGGGUCCCUUGAUGAACCCUCUCUGCUGAUGCUACACUAUUGCACUCUUAGCAGAACAAGGGGAAAGCCUUUCCUCUCAAGAGAAACUCUUGUCAAUCCAGUAGAUCAACGAGUACCUCUCAUCCUGCCUGCUAAGAAAAGAGCACACACACAGAAACCAUAGCAUCACAUGGCCCAUGCGGUUACACAUGAGUCCACAUCAACCAUGGCACCACAAAAACACAGCAUCACAUAAACAUAACCUCAUAUGGGCAUAUCAUCAUAUGAUCCAUGUGGUAGCACAUGAACCCCACACACAUGCACAUCAUCUCAUCUCAUGGAUGAACCGGUCACCAAGCCUUCUACAUAUCCAUAACAUAGAUAUGUCCCAACUAUGCCAGGGGCAACUAAGCCACACCUGGUCUGCUCAACUCAUACAUGUCAUCUCAUGCAUGCUGAGGGCUAGAGGAUCCACCAAUAUCCAUCCACAACAUCAUAAAAGACAGGACUCCACAUCCUAUCCUAGUGGACAUGAUCUUACUAUUGUGCUUGCCCUCUAAAACAACUUCUUUUCGAUGUGGGAUACCUAUAAUCCUUGAGCAUCUCCACUCAGCACAUCGUACUCUUGAGGCCCUAUGCUCUGAUACCACUCUGUAACAGCCCGGAAACCGGUACCCCUCUGUAACGGUCCGAACCGCCACCGGCACUAGGAUCCAGAUCGGCUUAAGGCAGCCGGAACCCGUAGCAAGCCACUAAACUCUCUAAACAUCUGGAAUAAUCCCAUACAUUACCCACAUUUUCUGCUAAAACUUUAAAAUUGUAAAACUCUUUUACUUCAAACUUUUCUUUCAUUUACCAAGCUUGACCUGUAUGCACUAUGUCUCAACACAUAGAACCACAUCUAGAUGGGUCAGCAUAUUACAUCAGGCUUGGUUCAACACAUUUCUCAUCAAGAAACGUAAAAUAGGGUCCAUGUACAAAGGGAUUAUCCACACUCUAGGGCCAAGCACAAACUAUAACUCUAAAUACAAUACAUGUUAAAACAUGUCUCUACAUAACUGAACAACAAAAUACAUUAAGAUACAUGUCCACUAAACGUCUAGUACAAACUCAUACCCUUAGCCAUAGCCCUGACUUACUCUUUACUCUUGCUGACUCUGAUCUUUCUCAUAGCUAACUCUGGCCCUGCAAAACUGGGGGGGGAAGGAGUGGGGUGAGCUAUAAAGCCCAGUGAGUAGAACAGUGAAAAUAACAUGGUGAUAAACAUGCUCUCAUAAAAUGCCUCACAUCACAAAUAAGUCACCCAUCUCGGCCGGACGGAUCAAAAUUCCCUCAAACUGUGCCUGGCCCACAAAGGAGCUCUCAAAACUUCAUCUCAAUCACUAGUACCGAAGUACCCUAUGCCUGGUCCCCUCAAGGGCUGUUCCAGGACUUUCCUACGAGGGCUAAUGAAUCCAAAACUAUGUCCGCACCGCACAUAAAGCAAUGUACAUGGAGCAGUGCCAGGUACAAGAAUAAUGCAAUGCAACAUAUUCGUGUGCACUAAUGC
rnacentral:lncRNA from 1 species